AGAUUGAACGCUGGCGGCAGGCCUAACACAUGCAAGUCGAGCGGCAGCACGGGUACUUGUACCUGGUGGCGAGCGGCGGACGGGUGAGUAAUGCCUAGGAAUCUGCCUGGUAGUGGGGGAUAACGCUCGGAAACGGACGCUAAUACCGCAUACGUCCUACGGGAGAAAGCAGGGGACCUUCGGGCCUUGCGCUAUCAGAUGAGCCUAGGUCGGAUUAGCUAGUUGGUGAGGUAAUGGCUCACCAAGGCGACGAUCCGUAACUGGUCUGAGAGGAUGAUCAGUCACACUGGAACUGAGACACGGUCCAGACUCCUACGGGAGCAGCAGGUGGGGAA
rnacentral:rRNA from 1 species